CCCUUAGAUGUUCUGGGCGGCCCGCGCACUACACUGGCACUCUCAAUCAGAGCCUGGAUCUAACACUUUGGGGUAUUCUAUGAAGUGGUGUCGUGACUGGGAUUAACCCUUGCACUUAUUGGUUACGAACGAGGAAUUCCUUGUAAUCGCGGUUUAUCAGCCCGCGUUGAAUGCGUCCCUGCCCUUUGUACACACCGCCCGUCGCUCCUACCGAUGGAUCGUCCGGUGAAGCUCAUGGAGGGGCGGUUGUCUCAGCUGCCGUCGAAGUGAAAUGGACCUCACGAUCUAGAGGAAGGAGAAGUCGUAACA
rnacentral:rRNA from 1 species